UACGUAGGGGGCAAGCGUUGUCCGGAAUCAUUGGGCGUAAAGAGCGCGUAGGCGGCCCAGUAAGUCCGCUCUGAAAGUCAGGGGCUCAACCCCUGGAUGCGGGUGGAUACUGCUGGGCUAGAGUCCGGAAGAGGCGAGUGGAAUUCCUGGUGUAGCGGUGAAAUGCGCAGAUAUCAGGAGGAACACCGAUGGCGAAGGCAGCUCGCUGGGACGGUAGCUGACGCUGAGGCGCGAAAGCGUGGGGAGCGAACAGG
rnacentral:rRNA from 1 species